rnacentral:rRNA from 1 species
CCUACGGGAGGCUGCAGUGAGGAAUAUUGGUCAAUGGGCGCUAGCCUGAACCAGCCAAGUAGCGUGAAGGAUGACUACCCUAUGGGUUGUAAACUUCUUUUAUAUGGGAAUAAAGUGCAGUAUGUAUACUGCUUUGCAUGUACCUUAUGAAUAAGGAUCGGCUAACUCCGUGCCAGCAGCCGCGGUAAUACGGAGGAUCCGAUCGUUAACCGGAUUUAUUGGGUUUAAAGGGAGCGUAGGCGGGUUGUUAAGUCAGUUGUGAAAGUUUGCGGCUCAACCGUAAAAUUGCAGUUGAUACUGGCAGCCUUGAGUACAGUAGAGGUAGGCAGAAUUCGUGGUGUAGCGGUGAAAUGCGUAGAUAUCACGAAGAACACCGAUGGCGAAGGCAGCCUGCUGGACUGUAACUGACGCUGAGGCUCGAAAGUGUGGGUAUCAAACAGGAUUAGAUACCCCAGUAGUC